rnacentral:rRNA from 1 species
AACGAACGCUGGCGGCAUGCCUAACACAUGCCAGUCGAACGAGACCUUCGGGUCUAGUGGCGCACGGGUGCGUAACGCGUGGGAACCUGCCCUUAGGUUCGGAAUAACUCUCCGAAAGGGGUGCUAAUACCGGAUAAUGUCUUCGGACCAAAGAUUUAUCGCCUUUGGAUGGGCCCGCGUUGGAUUAGCUAGUUGGUAGGGUAAAAGCCUACCAAGGCGACGAUCCAUAGCUGGUCUGAGAGGAUGAUCAGCCACACUGGGACUGAGACACGGCCCAGACUCCUACGGGAGGCAGCAGUGGGGAAUAUUGGACAAUGGGCGAAAGCCUGAUCCGGCAAUGCCGCGUGAGUGAUGAAGGCCUUAGGGUUGUAAAGCUCUUUUACCCGGGAUGAUAAUGACAGUACCGGGAGAAUAAGCUCCGGCUAACUCCGUG